UACGUAGGGACCAAGCGUUGUUCGGAUUUACUGGGCGUAAAGGGCGCGUAGGCGGCAAUUCAAGUCAUCUGUGAAAUCUCCGGGCUUAACUCGGAAUGGUCAGAUGAUACUGCUUUGCUAGAGUGCAGAAGGGGCAAUCGGAAUUCUUGGUGUAGCGGUGAAAUGCGUAGAUAUCAGGAGGAACACCGGUGGUGUAGACGGCUAUCUGGACCGUAACUGACGCUGAGGCACGAAAGCGUGGGUAGCAAACAGG
rnacentral:rRNA from 1 species